AUUGAACGCUGGAGGCAGGCCUAACACAUGCAAGUCGAGCGGAGCGGCGGCCGGGUGAGUAAUGCCUAGGAAUGUGCAUGGUAGUGGGGGAUAACGUCCGGAAAAGGGAGCUAAUACCGCAUACUAUCAGAUGAGCCUAGGUCGGAUUAGCUAGUUGGUGGGUGAAAGGCCUACCAAGGCGACGAUCCGUAACUGGUCUGGGCGGAUGAACAGUCACACUGGAACUGAGACACGGUCCAGACUCCUACGGGAGGCAGCAGUGGGGAAUAUUGGACAAUGGGCGAAAGCCUGAUCCAGCCAUGCCGCGUGUAUGAAGAAGGCCUUCGGGUUGUAAAGUACUUUCAGCGGGGAGGCGUUACCCGCAGAAGAAGCACCGGCUAACUCCGUGCCAGCAGCCGCGGUAAUUC
rnacentral:rRNA from 1 species